rnacentral:rRNA from 1 species
UGGGGAAUUUUGCGCAAUGGGGGAAACCCUGACGCAGCAACGCCGCGUGAGUGAUGAAGGCUUUCGGGUCGUAAAGCUCUGUCAGUGGGGAAGAAAUGGGAUGUGCUAAUACCACAUCUUCUUGACGGUACCCACAAAGGAAGCACCGGCUAACUCCGUGCCAGCAGCCGCGGUAAUACGGGGGGUGCAAGCGUUGUUCGGAUUUAUUGGGCGUAAAGCGCGUGUAGGCGGUUUCUUAAGUCUGAUGUGAAAGCCCUGGGCUCAACCCAGGAAGUGCAUUGGAUACUGGGAGACUUGAAUACGGGAGAGGGUAGUGGAAUUCCUAGUGUAGGAGUGAAAUCCGUAGAUAUUAGGAGGAACACCGGUGGCGAAGGCGGCUACCUGGACCGAUAUUGACGCUGAGACGCGAAAGCGUGGGGAGCAAACA